CAAAGGGGAAGUUUUGCCGGGAAGUUAGCAUCU
rnacentral:rRNA from 1 species